AUCCGCACGAGCGCACCCCUACCGUCUGUUGCCAGCAGGUAAUGCUGGGGACUCAGGCGGAACUGCCGGUGACAAACCGGAGGAAGGUGGGGACGAGGUCAGGUCAUCAUGAUCCUUACGUCCUGGGCUACACACGUGCUACAAUGGUCGGUACAGAGCGUUGCGCGACGGCGACGUUUAGCAAAUCGCUGAAAGCCGGCCUUAGUUCGGAUUGGAGUCUGAAACUCGACUCCAUGAAGCUGGAAUCGCUAGUAAUCGCGCAUCANCACGGCGCGGUGAAUACGUUCCCGGGCCUUGUACACACCGCCCGUCAUACCACCCGAGUUGGGGGUACCCGAAGUCGCUAGCCAAACCGCAAGGAAGGCGGCGCCGAAGGUAUGCCCGGUAAGGGGGGUAAAGUCGUAACAAGGUAGCCGUACCGGAAGGUGUGGCUGGAUCA
rnacentral:rRNA from 1 species